UACGUAGGGGGCUAGCGUUGUCCGGAAUCAUUGGGCGUAAAGAGCGUGUAGGCGGCCCGGUAAGUCCGCUGUGAAAGUCGGGGGCUCAACCCUCGAAUGCCGGUGGAUACUGUCGGGCUAGAGUGCGGAAGAGGCGAGUGGAAUUCCUGGUGUAGCGGUGAAAUGCGCAGAUAUCAGGAGGAACACCAAUUGCGAAGGCAGCUCGCUGGGACGUGACUGACGCUGAGACGCGAAAGCGUGGGGAGCAAACAGG
rnacentral:rRNA from 1 species